AAAAAAAACACAAACCCCACCCCCAACACGAACCUGCUCCGUGCUCACACACGAAGCCGCUCCCGGCGGCCACCGCCGCAACCCCUUGCGAGCGCCGCCCCACCGCCGAGACCGCUCGCUCAUCCCCGCGCGACCUCCUCAGCCCCGCGCGUGCGCCGCCCCACCUCCACAUCGCCGAGCCGCGCGCGAAACCGUUGAUGCGCCGGCUCGAACUCGCUGUCCCCAUUUCUCCGGACGCCGGGGACGCAGAUGCCGCCGAAGCCAUCGUGUGCGCGUCGGGGACGCAGCAUCCGCUGCCUCCAUUCCUCUGCGUGGCCUUCGAUGCACAUCCUUAAUUUCUCCAGUAGGAACCACCAUGUAAAAAACUCAAACCCUUCGUUUUCUGUUGUUGCCGCCAUUGGAGGUGCUGUGCCACUAGGACGAUGAGGUAUACGAGGUAUGAGCUCGAGGCGCUCUCAGCGGGGCGCCGUCGUGGGGGGCGCAGGCGAUUCGGUGGGCCGAGGUGCACUCCGCGCUCCCCGCCGCCGGCUUCUCCGGGGAGUACUGGUGCUGCUCGCCACCGACACGCCGGUGAGUGGGAGUAAGGCUUCCCGCGGCGGGACGAAGGGCCCCGAAGCGGCAACGCCCCAGUUCCAAUUGAGUAAAUCCCAGCCGCGGAGCACCGACAUUUACGAUUGAUGGCACUGGAACGAUGCUCAGGCUGAACUUGAAAAUAAGGAGGGCUCGGCUAUUUCCAUGUUUUUGUGCUGGCCAGCAAUGCCGCUUAAUUGUUCUUUUUUGACGCUUCUGUUUAAUUGUUCUUGGAUGGUGGAUGGUGAAAUCUUGUUUUGAUAAGUAGUUCUUGUGCUAAUUGAUUCUUCUAUUUAGUGUGAUAGCAUAUUUUGUUGCAAGUGUAAAAUCUGGGGAGAUGUGAGGAUGAUUUCUUGGCAGUGGUUGCUGUGAUAUUUGACAAGAAAUCUUGGAAGCCAAGAUGUAUCGGUUUUCUUUUCAGUGUAAAUGAAUGGUGUCAUACGAGAUUUUAAGCUGAAUAUCUGCUCGGAACUACUUAUCUGGACAUACAUUAUCUGCAUCCUUGGUCACUUUUAUAUAAAACCAUUGAUAUCUUACUCUGGAGAAUGAUUGAAGUUUGAGCUUUUAGCCAUCUAAAAGGCUGAAAGUGGCUCUGAAGCCUCAAAACUUAAUUCAUGUAAAUAUCUGCCAAGGGCGGCCGUACUGCCCGAGGAUUUAUAUACCUCAAUUUUUCAACCUGUUAGUCCUUUCACCUUGCUAUCUGAAAUGUGUGAUCUUGAUGCUAAUUUCAUGGAGAAGGAGAACUACAAAAAGUCAAUGUGAGACCCUAGCCUAAAAGGGAAAAUCGCUCUGUAGUCAUCUCUAGAACAAGGAGAACUACCAAAAUUUCAAGGGGGAGAGCCUGGCCUAAAAAGGUGAAAUCGCUCUGUAGUCAGCUCCGGAACAAGGUAUGUCAUGAAUCUUUCACACUUAUGAUUAUUGGGAGGUAUGGCCGUAUGACUAUUCUUGUACUUACCCAAUUUAUCUGGACGGAAAGUGGAAUUCGGAUUUUAGUGUUCUUGCUUUCUUUUUGUUUAUGUUAAAUUUUUUGGACCUGUUAGUGUAAUCAAGGCAAGAAAUAUUUGUUAGAGAAUCAUGUGGCAUCCUAGAGUGGAGGAAGAAUAUUAAGCAAAUGUUGGGAGUAGGCUGGUCUUUUAGUUUUCCUUGUUGAAAUUGUUGUAUGUAAAAUGUGAGGGAAUCAUGAGGUCAUGUCCUGGUUACUGCAAUAUUUUGGUAAUAGAGCCUGAAGUCAAAUGUUUUUGUCAGAAAGUUUAAUAUUGACACUAUUUCAAGACUGCAUAACUGGACAUCAUUUCUGUAAAUCAUUUUCUAUUUACCCAGAAUGCCAGUUCUGGGUACCAAUCAACCAAAUGGUGAAAAUUCUUGACCAAGUCCUAAGGCCCCGCUUGGAUUAUUGUAUUCCAAAAUACACCGGUAAAACAUACACCCUUAAAAUAAAGAUCCGGCUAGGGGUAGUCGUUUGGUUGGUCGUUUUUGAGUUACACCUGUAAUCAGCCGUGUUAUUUGAUACACUCCUCGGUCCGUCGUUUCCCCCCACCACCCGUAAUCCUCUCCUCUCUCUCGAGAUCUAGGCGACGUAGAGUGCUUUGCCGCAAUAACCACAAGGGACGGGGCAGACACUGGCGCCGGUGUCCGUGACAAGGUGAGGCGACGGCGAUGGGUUGAGGUGCGGGCAUUCGUGACGGGGUGAGGCGCCGGCGGCCGUGACCUUGACUGCAACGGCGACUCACUCCUACAAGCGGCCACGAUCCAACCUCCUCUCCCUCAACUCCAGUCCACUGUCUGGCAUCGAGUUCGUCACCGACGCGGACGCGGAUUUUUAGAGCACGGGCUCCUGGACACCUCCUAUCUUCACCAUCUAAUAUUGCUUUGAGAUUCGUGCUACACAACUAACUACAUGAAAACUUUCUCUUUUUUGUUUCUUCAAAACAAAACAACAAAUGAACUUGAAACUUUCCAGGACAACAAAACAUUCUUAGAACAAAGUGGGAUAAAACUUUCAGAUUUUUUUGUCCAAGAAAAAUAUAGAAAAUGAGAUUUUUUUAAUUGAAAAAAAAAAUUCUUAUUUUUAGUACUUAUGAUGCGCGAAAAAAUCUGAAAGUUUUUUCGCACAUUCUAGUAAGAAUGUUUUGUUGUGCUGAAAAGUUUGAAGUUCAUAUGUUAAACUAUAUGGGAGAAACAAAAAAGAGAAAAGUUCUUGCACGAAUCGCGAUGCAGAAUUGGAUUGCUAGAUAAGGGGGUGUCCAUGAGCCUAAGCUCCACAGGAUAUUUUCUGUCACCGAUGUCUGCUCCCCCUUCUUCCCCAAUACUUCUGGAUGGUCUCCAAACUGAACAACACAAGCUUUGUUGUUCUUAAAUUAGUCCUAAACAAUAAUCUUGUGUUUGGUAGCAUUUGGCAGUUCUUGAGUCAAUUCUAGGCAUAAUCUUGCCAUGCUUUAUGAUUCAGAUGGAAUGCCGUGAGAUGUGGAGCUAGUGUUCAUAAUUAACAUCAUCUGGUUGAGCCAAGUACUUGACUAACUUGGGUAGUUGAGCUGACUGGUAAAAGGAAAUAAAUGUCAAUGUAAUUGUAAUGUUAACCUGCAUAUGGCAUCUUUGCAUGUUUACUUGUGAUGCCAACUGAUGACCACCACUUGGGUUAAGAACUUAAGAUGAUUAUAAGCUUCGUGGUGAGCUGGUCAAGAUUCAACAUAUUUAUGUUUGUCGCAAUCUCAAAUAUUAACUUCUACUCCAAGCACACACAUGGUUUGAUUUAUAUGCAUUUGAUUAAGUCGUAGCACUGCUUGACAAUCGUAAUAUUCUAUGGUUGUUACCAUGGGAAUCAAUGCAGAAGAUAGCCAGCGGGUAGCUGAUAUGCCUGAAUUGCAAGUUAGCCUCUUUCCCUAUCAAUUAACUUGAAAUUGCAAGUUAGCUUCUUUCCCUAUCAAGAGAGAAAGGGCAGCAGGCUGUUCACCGCCCUGCAUCCGCCGCCAACCAUCGCCCACAUCCGCCUCCGGCCGUGGCCUACACAUCUCCACCGGUUCCUCUCACAUCUCUUUUCCCACACACCACAUCCCCUUUCCCUCGCUGGAGCUCCCCGCUGACUUCAACGACCUGCAGCGGCUGCCCCUGCUCUAGGUCUGCCGCCACCAGACCUCCUGGUCGUCGUAUAGAGUGGCAACUCCAAUGGCCAAGCGACCGAAGAGAUCAAGUGACAGUUAGAUAAAUUCUUGGUACAUAGGACUGAUAUGAACUUCUUUUCUACCAGGAUAAAAAAAUUAGCAUGCUUUAUUUAUCGAAGAAAUAAACUCUAUGUUAAACCGUGACUCAUUUUUCACACAAAUUUAAAUUUUAUGAAUAAUUUCUUUGCACUAAAUACAAUGUAGAACAUUUAAUUUCUGUGUGGAGAUGAGCCCACAUUUUUAUGUGCACAUUGGUAGCGUUUUCCCAUUUGAGCAUGAUUUCUAUAGUGCAUGAUGUCUAUUUGCAAGUCUAUUCUUAUGAACUACUAUGAUGCAUCUCAUAUUUCUUUGUCCUGAUAGGUGAUUGUGGUGCUAUAUAUUUGGACAAAGAGAUUGUAUGCAUUCAUCUAUCUGAGCUUAUUUUUAGAGUAACUGGUAUGUUCUCAACAUCCCUUUGAACGCAGCAGUGACAAGACAAGACGGGUCUAUCAACAGAAAGACAACCUCUCAUAACAUGGUGCAUAUUUUGUUAGCAAGGUAGUAUAUGUUGUUAAGUCAUGGAAGUUAUCAACUCUGAGUUGUCCAUUCUUAAAGGACCAUAACUGGUAUGCCAAAUGAUAACAUUACUCUUAAUGUGGUUGUGCAAGCGUUAUGCAUUUUACCAGUUACCUUCUCCCGUUUACUUUUUUCAAACCAAAAGGUUAUCUUAUCCUCUGAAUUUUUUGCACUUAAUUACUGAUUUGGAAUAAUAGAUAUAGUGUUGUACUGUACUGGAAUGCUCUUCUAUUAGCAUAACAGUCCAUGGUAAAAUGGCUAUGAGAAGUCGAUGUCUUUUGAGAUUUUUAGGAACACUCAUUUAAGUAGACCUUGCGGCCAUGGAGGGAACCCGAUGAUAAAGACAUGAAUUUGCUUGCAAUCUCGGUAUUAUGUAUGCAUACUUCCUGACUGCUUAUAGGAUAUUAACA